GGCAGGUGUAAGGCCCCUGAGUUCUUGUGUCUAUUUCAUUCUUCAUCCUCCUACACUAUCACCUGUAACUAAGACCUUUCUGAAUACCCGGGAUUUAAAAAUGAAUGCCUUGUGGGGCGCCUGGGUGGCGCAGUCGGUUAGGCGUCCGACUUCAGCCAG